rnacentral:lncRNA from 1 species
UGUGCUGCAUCUUUUAAGGGGAUGGCAACCAAGACCACGGGAUCUGGCCUAAUGAGACAGUGAAAACUGGAUGUGAUCUUGAUGCUGUGUUGCAGUGGAAGCCUGCCCAGUGCUCCUGCCUUUGCCCUCCUUUCUAGAAGAGCAAGAAAAGAAAGAAUGGAUCCACCUGAGCAGCGAGGAUUGAUUGGAGCUAAACAGACACACGAACCAAAGUGAACACCUGAAGGGAAACUAGAAUGGACUUCAUCAUAAUUUUUUUAAAACUAC